CUAACUGGAGGACCGAACCGACUAAUGUUGACAACUUAGCGGAUGACUUGUGGCUGGGGCUGAAAGGCCAAUCCAACCGGGAGAUAGCUGGUUCUCCCCGAAAGCUAUUUAGGUAGCGCCCCGGACGACCACCUACGGGGGUAGAGCCCUGUUAAGGCUAGGGGGUCAUCCCGACUUACCAACCCUUUGCAAACUCCGAAUACCGUAGAGUGCUAUCCGGGAGACACACGGCGGGAGCUAACGUCCGUCGUGAAGAGGGAAACAACCCAGACCGCCAGCUAAGGUCCCAAAGUCCUGGUUAAGUGGGAAACGAUGUGGGAAGGCUUAGACAGCUAGGAUGUUGGCUUAGAAGCAGCCAUCGUUUAAAGAAAGCGUAAUAGCGCACUAGUCGAGUCGGCCUGCGCGGAAGAUGUAACGGGCAUAAACCAUGCACCGAAGCUGCGGCAACGA
rnacentral:rRNA from 1 species